rnacentral:lncRNA from 1 species
UUACUACUAUGGGGGACUUUAAAGCUUUAAGUGGAUCUGAUGUAGCUUUUCAUGAAAAUCAAAUUCUGCAAGCUAGAGGCAAUGCGAGUAUUCAAGUGCCUGCAUCUGUUGGUGCUAACCUUCUGGGACCUCUACAGCCAUCAACCCAGUCUCAAGCUAUGCAUAUGCAACAAGUUCAGACGCAGGUUCAAGUACCUGCAUCUGUUGGUGCUAACCUUCUGGGACUUCUUCUGACAUCAACCCAGUCUCAAGCUAUGCAUAUGCAACAAGUUCAGACGCAGGCAGUGAAUCCUCAGC